UUAUUACUUAUUUUGCCACUGUCUCAGAAAAUAUAUGUACACUUUAUUUUUUUUCUUCUUCUUCCUUAUCUAUCUUCCCUCCCGCUCAUCCUCGACUAUGACUUCGACUCCCCGCUCUUCUCCUUCCUUUCUCUCUUUCCACCCGCUCUUCCCUCCGUGACUAAUGGGUCACAAUGGCAGAUGACAAUGAUUUCGACGAUUCCGGCAACGGCUGGCCUCAAGGUUGAUCUCAAUCGAUUUCUUAUCACAUCAGGAAAUGCUAAUGUACUGAUUUUCUGGGACUAGAAACGAGAUGAUAAUUUAUCUGGUUUUAAUAGCUGCCCUUAACAAUGCACUAACGAUUUUGGACAAGGAACAUGUAAGUACCCUUUUCCUUCAUUGUUCCAACGUUUAUAGUUUUUGUUAUGUAAAAACGAACUCAAUUUUUCUAAAUUUAUUGUCAUUCGUUUUCCUAAUUUUUGUUUCUAGUCUUCUAAAUUAGUGCAAUUUUGCAUCAGAAUUGUUGCAUAGGCGAUUGUUGAUUGCAUCAUCUUGACAUUAAUAUUCAACUCAUUUAGCUUAAGAAAUCUGUUAUAUGUCUCUGAUUUUGUCAAUAAUUAUGGAUUGUUUGAUUGGAUCGCUAUAUCUCUUCUAACUUGGGAAAAUUCUUAGAGCUUGCCUGUGGACUUAAGUAUUAAAUAGUUUCUCAUUUUAUGAAGGUAGUACCUUAUAAUGUUAAUGAAAUGCACAGUGAGUUGGAACUUCCAUGUUCCAAUUCCACUCCAAUACCUCUGAUUACACGGUAGGAGAUAUGGAACCUUAGUGUUCAUGUUGUGAAGUGGAAAUCACACCGAAGUUGACGCAUAUUAUGUUUCUCUCAUAAUUGUUGAGAUAGGUGUGGGACUUAAGUACCCCAUUCUGUGAAUAAACAGUCUAAUUUUGAAAAGAAAAGUAGCAUUGUGCUAAAGUUUGUUGAUAUUUUUUAUUUUUCAUUUAAUUUUGUAAAUGGUGCACAUUGCGCAUGUAACGUAACGAUUGUCAAGUUAAAAAGAGAAUACGUAUGGUGCACAUUUGGCAGUUUUCAUUUAUGGGUUUUGAUUGCUUUUUUUUUUUUGUUUUUUUUUUUUUGUUCUUGAAUUGUCAUGAGUAAAGUUGCAGAAGAGGAACGUUCUGCAGACAUUC